rnacentral:rRNA from 1 species
GAUGAACGCUGGCGGCGUGCCUAAUACAUGCAAGUCGAGCGAACAGACGAGGAGCUUGCUCCUCUGACGUUAGCGGCGGACGGGUGAGUAACACGUGGAUAACCUACCUAUAAGACUGGGAUAACUUCGGGAAACCGGAGCUAAUACCGGAUAACAUGUUGAACCGCAUGGUUUAACAGUGAAAGACGGUCUUGCUGUCACUUAUAGAUGGAUCCGCGCCGCAUUAGCUAGUUGGUAAGGUAACGGCUUACCAAGGCAACGAUGCGUAGCCGACCUGAGAGGGUGAUCGGCCACACUGGAACUGAGACACGGUCCAGACUCCUACGGGAGGCAGCAGUAGGGAAUCUUCCGCACUGGGCGAAAGCCUGACGGAGCAACGCCGCGUGAGUGAAGAAGGUCUUCGGAUCGUAAAACUCUGUUAUUAGGGAAGAACAAAUGUGUAAGUAACUAUGCACGUCUUGACGGUACCUAAUCAGAAAGCCACGGCUAACUACGUG